GACGAACGCUGGCGGCAGGCUUAACACAUGCAAGUCGAGCGCCCCGCAAGGGGAGCGGCAGACGGGUGAGUAACGCGUGGGAAUCUACCCAUCUCUACGGAAUAACGCAUGGAAACGUGUGCUAAUACCGUAUACGUCCUUCGGGAGAAAGAUUUAUCGGAGAUGGAUGAGCCCGCGUUGGAUUAGCUAGUUGGUGGGGUAAAGGCCUACCAAGGCGACGAUCCAUAGCUGGUCUGAGAGGAUGAUCAGCCACACUUGGACUGAGACACGGCCCAGACUCCUACGGGAGGCAGCAGUGGUGAAUAUUGGACAAUGGGCGCAAGCCUGAUCCAGCCAUGCCGCGUGAGUGAUGAAGGCCCUAGGGUUGUAAAGCUCUUUCACCGGUGAAGAUAAUGACGGUAACCGGAGAAGAAGCCCCGGCUAACUUCGUGCCAGCAGCCGCCGCCGUAA
rnacentral:rRNA from 1 species